AUUGAACGCUGGCGGCAGGCCUAACACAUGCAAGUCGAACGAGUGGCGGACGGGUGAGUAAUUUCUGGGAAACUGCCUGAUGGAGGGGGAUAACUACUGGAAACGGUAGCUAAUACCGCAUACCAUCAGAUGUGCCCCGAUGGGAUUAGCUAGUAGGUGGGGUAACGGCUCACCUAGGCGACGAUCCCUAGCUGGUCUGAGAGGAGGACCAGCCACACUGGAACGGAGCAACGGUACAGACUCCUACGGGAGGCAGGAGUGGGGAAUAUUGCACAAGGGGCGCAAGCCUGAUGAAGCCAUGCCGAGGGGAGGAAGAAGGCCUUCGGGUUGUAAAGUACUUUCAGCGGGGAGGCGUUACCCGCAGAAGAAGCACCGGCUAACUCCGUGCCAGCCGCCGCGGUAAUAC
rnacentral:rRNA from 1 species